UACGUAGGGCGCGAGCGUUGUCCGGAAUCAUUGGGCGUAAAGAGCUCGUAGGCGGCCUGUCGCGUCUGCUGUGAAAUCCCGGGGCUUAACCCCGGGCGUGCAGUGGAUACGGGCUGGCUGGAGGCAGGCAGGGGAGAACGGAAUUCCCGGUGUAGCGGUGAAAUGCGCAGAUAUCAGGAGGAACACCGAUGGCGAAGGCAGGUCACUGGGCCGCAACUGACGCUGAGGAGCGAAAGCAUGGGGAGCGAACAGG
rnacentral:rRNA from 1 species